rnacentral:misc_RNA from 1 species
GAUGAAGAACGUAGUGAAAUGCGAUAAGUAAUGUGAAUUGCAGAAUUCAGUGAAUCAUCGAAUCUUUGAACGCACAUUGCGCCCCUUGGUAUUCCGAGGGGCAUGCCUGUUCGAGCGUCAUUAUAACCCCUCAAGCUCAGCUUGGUGUUGGGGCCUGCUGCACUGGCAGCCCUUAAAAUCAGUGGCGGCGCCAUCUGGCUCUAAGCGUAGUAAUUCUUCUCGCUAUGGAGUCCUGGUGGAUGCUUGCCAUCAACCCCCAAUUUUUCUAUGGUUGACCUCGGAUCAGGUAGGGAUACCCGCUGAACUUAAGCAUAUCAAUAAAGCGGAGA